CUCCCCACGGCCUCGCCGUCCACGCCGCGCCGACCGCUCCUCCGGCUGCCCCUCCACCACAGUGGGAUCAGUCGGCCCUCAUCGCCGCGCUGAACCAGAUGGCCCUUCAAGCGCAAGCAGGACAAGGCAGCGAGUGGGUCCUCGACAGUGGUGCUUCCUCUCACAUGGGCUCCGGUUCCGGAUUUGGCAACGGGACGAGUUAUUCACCGAUGUAACUCCACCGGCGACCUCUACCCCUUCGUGCAGACGCCCCAAUGCUUCCUCGCCACCGUCUCUGCAACUUUGUGGCAUCAGCGGCUUGGACACCCCGGCGUUGAAGCUUUGGCCAAUGCAUCCAAAUAUUUCAAAUUCAGUUGUAAUAAAAGUUUACCCACGCACUGCGAUGCAUGUCGUUUGGGCAAACACACUAGACUCCCUUUUGCUUCCUCUACCACCAAAACAUCUGCUGCUUUUGAGCUUUGUCAUUGCGAUUUAUGGACUAGUCCUGUAUUAAGCAUCUCAGGUUUUCAAUAUUAUCUUGUUA